CAGACAAGAUAGCACGGUCACGCCAUGC
rnacentral:sRNA from 1 species